rnacentral:rRNA from 1 species
UUCUGGUUGAUCCCGCCGGACCUGACUGCUAUCGGAUUGGUACUAAGCCAUGCGAGUCGAGAGGGGUAAGCCCUCGGCGUAUUGCUCAGUAACACGCGGAUAACCUGCCCUUGGGUCCGGGAUAACCCCGGGAAACUGGGACUAAUACCGGAUAGAUCAAAGAUACUGGAAUGUUCUCUGGUCUAAAACUCCGGUGCCCAAGGAUGGGUCUGCGGCCUAUCAGGUAGUAGUGGGUGUAACGUACCUACCAGCCUACGACGGGUAAGGGUUGUGAGAGCAAGAUCCCUGAGAUGGAUUCUGAGACAUGAAUCCAGGCCCUACGGGGUGCAGCAGGCGCGAAAACUUUACACUGCGGGAAACCGCGAUAAGGGGACCCCGAGUGCCAGCACCUAGUGCUGGCUGUCCCGCUGUUCAAAAAACAGUGGUUAGCAAGGGCCGGGCAAGACCGGUGCCAGCCGCCGCGGUAACACCGGCGGCCCGAGUGGUAGCCGUUAUUAUUGGGUUUAAAGGGUCCGUAGCCGGCUUACUAAGUCUCUUGGGAAAUCUGGCGGCUUAAUCGUCAGGCGGCCAAGAGAUACUGGUAGGCUUGGGACCGGGAGAGGUGGGAGGUACUCCAGGGGUAGGGGUGAAAUCUCGUAAUCCUUGGGGGACCACCGAUGGCGAAGGCAUCCCACCAGAACGGGUCCGACGGUGAGGGACGAAAGCUGGGGGCACGAACCGGAUUAGAUACCCGGGUAGUCCCAGCUGUAAACGAUGCAGACUCGGUGAAGCGUUGGCUUCAUGCCAACGCUGUGCCGCAGGGAAGCCGUUAAGUCUGCCGCCUGGGAAGUACGGUCGCAAGAUUGAAACUUAAAGGAAUUGGCGGGGGAGCACCACAAGGGGUGAAGCCUGCGGUUCAAUUGGAGUCAACGCCGGA